GUGGAUUAACCCUAAAAUCUGCUCUAUCUAUCUCUAAGACUAAGGGGAUAUGUUUUCAAACCCCUGAAAGACCAGAUUCUGUACUUAGGCUUUUCAAGGAACAUGGAUUCACCAAUUCCCACAUCUCCAAAAUUGUUAAGAUCAGGCCCAAUGUGCUUUUACUACAUCCUGAAAGGACAAUUUUACCCAAACUUGAGUUUCUACGUUCUGUAGGGGUUUCAAGAUCAGACCUUUCUGUAAUUGUUUCUCAGAACCCAGAGUUGUUGAAUCGAAGUAUUAAGCAAAAUCUGAUCCCACAAUAUCAUAUCCUCAAAAGUAUACUCGUUUCUGAUGAGAAAGUAAUUAAAUGUUUGAAACGCUUGUUAAAAUCUUCUAUAGUGCAAUCGCAGAACGACUUUUUUUGCCAAUUUCUCACUUGUAAGAGUUCUUGGAAUUCCUCAAUCUUCCAUCUCUUUCUUGGUCACCUAUCAUCCCCAUAUUGUGUGCCUAAAAGCUUUCAAUUUUGCUGAAGGAGUUAAGAAAGUUAUUAAGACAGGAUUUGAUCCUUCAAAAUCUGCAUUUGUUCGGGCACUCCAAGUUUUGCUUGGAAUGACGCAGAAAACAUGGGAACACAAAAUUGAGGCUUAUAGGAGGUGGGGUUUAUCUGAAGAAGAGAUUUCGUCAAUUUUCAGAGAGAGUCCCUUAAGUAUGGGUCUGUCUGAAAAGAAAAUUAUGUGCAACAUGCAUUUUCUCGUGUGCAAGAUGGGUUGGCAGCCUUCUGCUGUUGCUAGAGUUCCAAUUG
rnacentral:misc_RNA from 1 species